rnacentral:misc_RNA from 1 species
AGGUGGGGGAAGGAGGGUGG